rnacentral:lncRNA from 1 species
GACAGAGCCAUGUGGUGACGACUGUAAUGGGAGUAUGCCUGUCUCCAAAAAGAGGGCUGUGGCUUGAAGGUCAGCUUAAGAGGCACCCCUGUCCUUUGAUGUCACCCUGGAGGCCCAGAGUAACUCUUCUGGAAGCCCCAUCAUGUCCAUGCCCGACAGCGUCCAUUGUUCCCUUUUCCCAGAGCCAAGAGCUGGUUAGAGCUGCAAGGACACCACCUGCACAGGAUGCCCGGGGCUGGGCAUUACCUGCUGCAAUGACAACAUCUGGCUGGAUGGCAGAGAGCUGAUGGACCGUUGCGACGUCCCAGUCCAGCUGGGCCACUGUCACCCUGGGGCUAAGUUGGCAGUGAUAUCUGCCCCUAAUGAGAGGCCAUUGAGAAGGACAUUCCCUCAGAGCUGCUAGAGGACCCGGCUGUGACAGUCGCUGAAGAUGUAUGCCCGGGGGCGGCACAUCUUGCAGAUGGCCAGGCCUGUGAGGCCGGCACCACUGCCAAGCUCUAGGACAGUCCUGGCGGGAGGAAAGGGGAUCAUGUCUGCAACUGCACCAGGGUAAGCCUGCCUCGGUGCCCUGCCCUGUGCCCUGAGGUCACCUAUCAGUGAAGGCUGCUGGGUUCUAGAUGGCCCAUUCUGCAAGGUAGAGGGUGGCAUCCCAUGUGACCAGGACUGUGAUGCCGUGGGAGAUGAUGGCUGUGCUCUUGGAGAGUGUGACUGAGCCUCCCGAGGGCAGCACCAAGAGAAGGCGAGAGAGUCAGUCCAGCGAUCAGAAGGCAAGUGGCUUAGAAGACAAGCAGCCAUCCACUACAUGGCUGAAUAAAUCAUGACAGGACCAAUCGCCACUCAGCAAUGAGAAGCAGCUAACUGUUGACAUGCCAACAGCUUGCACAGGCCUCAAGGGUGUCACAUGGCAUGAAAGACACUCAUCUCAGGCCACACAGGAUUCCAUUCAUUGAACAUUCCUGAGACAAUGGAAUUCUGGCGAUGGAGCACAGAUAUCCAGUAACUGACUGAUCAGCUGGUGGUGGGCUCUGCUGGCUGCCAUGAUGGACCACGAGCAAAAAGGGAAAAUUGGUUGUCAGUGAGAGAAGCAGAGAUAAGAAAGUCC